UAUAAUGGGUCAGCGACUUAUAUUCUGUAGCAAGGUUAACCGUAUAGGGGAGCCGAAGGGAAACCGAGUCUUAACUGGGCGUUAAGUUGCAGGGUAUAGACCCGAAACCCGGUGAUCUAGCCAUGGGCAGGUUGAAGGUUGGGUAACACUAACUGGAGGACCGAACCGACUAAUGUUGAAAAAUUAGCGGAUGACCUGUGGCUGGGGGUGAAAGGCCAAUCAAACCGGGAGAUAGCUGGUUCUCCCCGAAAGCUAUUUAGGUAGCGCCUCGUGAACUCAUCUUCGGGGGUAGAGCACUGUUUCGGCUAGGGGGCCAUCCCGGCUUACCAACCCGAUGCAAACUACGAAUACCGAAGAAUGUUAUCACGGGAGACACACGGCGGGUGCUAACGUCCGUCGUGAAGAGGGAAACAACCCAGACCGCCAGCUAAGGUCCCAAAGUCAUGGUUAAGUGGGAAACGAUGUGGGAAGGCCCAGACAGCCAGGAUGUUGGCUUAGAAGCAGCCAUCAUUUAAAGAAAGCGUAAUAGCUCACUGGUCGAGUCGGCCUGCG
rnacentral:rRNA from 1 species